rnacentral:rRNA from 1 species
CGGAGGAUCCAAGCGUUAUCCGGAAUCAUUGGGUUAAAGGGUCCGUAGGCGGUUUAUAAGUCAGUGGUGAAAUCUGGUCGCUCAACGAUCAAACGGCCAUUGAUACUGUAGAACUUGAAUUACUUGGAAGUAACUAGAAUAUGUAGUGUAGCGGUGAAAUGCUUAGAGAUUACAUGGAAUACCAAUUGCGAAGGCAGGUUACUACAAGUGGAUUGACGCUGAUGGACGAAAGCGUGGGGAGCGAACAGGAUUAGAUACCCUGGUAGUCCACGCCGUAAACGAUGGAUACUAGCUGUUCGGAGCAAUCUGAGUGGCUAAGCGAAAGUGAUAAGUAUCCCACCUGGGGAGUACGAACGCAAGUUUG